CACAAGUAAUCUCUAAUUCUCAAAGUUAUUGUACAAAUUUUUAUAAAAUGAUAAACAGAUAUGACUCUGUCUACAGAAAUAGCCAAGGGCUUUAGCUAUAUUUUCAAUGAGACGUUUCUUAUAAAGGUACAAUAAUUUGUUUAGAUUUUAAGGUUUUCAGAAAUUAUUCCAAAGUAUAACCAGAAAGAAUUCCUAAAAGGAAAAGAAGAUGCUUCAACAGAGAGGAAGCACACAUUAGAGGUCCUAAGAAGAAAAAAGAAAUCAUCUUUGGGUGAAACAAGGUCUUUAUAUAUUAGAUUUUAAUGAUAAGAAUAUUUUCCUAAAUAGAAAGAUUUAUCAUUAUCUAGACAGAUGAUAUAGAAAGUUAAAACAAUUGAGAAAAAGAUUUAUAUGUACUUGACUGACUAUAAAAAAUUUAACUGAUUAAUUCAAGGAUAUUUCAAACUAUUUUCCUAUGCUGAUGUGAGCUAAAAUUUUGUCCAUAUUUUGACAUGAUAAAGACCUAUUAAAAUGUUAAGUUUGAUUCAUUUAAGAGAGGUCUUUAUUGACUAAUGAUUCUUACUGUUUAAGGCAAAGAUUAAUUCUGGUAAAUAAAUUCACAUCCUUAAUUAAACACUAAAUGUAUUAAACUGCUAACUUAGAUCUCAAUUUUGACAAUUCUCUUUGGAGACUAAAUUUGAUUGAUUCAAAGACACUGCUAAUUCUUACAUAUUACUGUUUGUUGGAUAAUUAUGAGAUUUGGGAGAUAAUUUUAUUAGGACUGGGGUUCUCCAAGUUAAAGUUAUAUGUUAGUUUUGAACAAUAAAAGUUGCAAAACUUGUUAAAAAUUGGUAUUAUAUAAGUUCUCUGACUGAACCUAUUAUCCAUAAAAAAUAUGGUAAGAUUUAUAUACUACUCCCUAUACUGGGAAGUAAACAAACACAUUUUCUUUUUCUUUCUUUUCUUUUUGAUUUUUGCAUUGUUCUUUUUAUUUAUAUAUUUUUUUUUUAUAAAGAACUGUAUUCUGAUUUUCCUUUUCUU
rnacentral:lncRNA from 1 species